GGACACUGCAAGAGGUCCUCAUUGCGAAAGUCUGCCGGACGGGAAAAGCUCGCUCAUUUUCCCGAUGAUGUUACACCAGAUAGUUGCCGCUACCUUAGGACCAGAGGAGACCUAGGACACCGAGGGCAACUGGGCAGCCUCACCAGCUAAGUGCCUCCCUCCUGCUUCUAAUGCUUCCUCAUUCCAGAUCAGCAUCUCAGCAGAAUUACAGCUGGAGCUGACCUGUUUAUGGUGGAGUUUCUCUCCUCUAUGCAGAAGUCUGAAUAAAAUCUGUCGUGCCAUCGGUAAGACAUGUCCAGUCCCAUUUUUCUUUGACGAGACUCGGCUUCCUGACUUGGAAAAU